GAAGGAACCGUAGGGGGACAGGGACGCGGGUGUGGGGCCUCUCCAGGGCUGCGCUGCCACCAGCCACAAGAGACGUUGCUGGUUCAAGUUGAAAUGUGCUGUAGGUGUAGAAUACACACCGAAUUUCCGAGACUUAGUAGAAAACAUAUAAAAAUCUCAUAAUUUUAUCUUGAUUAUAAACUGGAUAGUUGAUUACAAAAUUGGUUACAGUUUUAGAUAUAUUUGGUUAAAUAAAACACAUUUAGAAUAAUUUCAUGGGGCACCUGAGUGGCUCAAUCGGUUCAGCCUCCUCUUGAUUUCUGUUCAAGCCUUGAUACCAGGAAAAUGAUUUGGGAAUCAGCCUUAGGUGGGGCUCUGUGCUGAACGCGGAGCCAGCUUGGGAUUCUGUCUCCUUCUCUCUGCGCCUCUCCCGCUUGUGCUCUCUCUCCCUCUCUUUCAAAAACAAAUAAGCAUUUUUAAAAAUAAUUUUUGUUUGUCUGUUUGUUUGCUUUUUAAAAUAUGGCCGCUAAACUUAAAAUCCCUAUUUGGCUCGCGAUAUAUUUCUGCUGGAUAGCAGUGGUUCAGAAGGAAAAGGGACAGCUAACGCCUCUUGAGUGCUUAUUAUGUCCCAAGCACUCUUGUAGGUACGUGACACCCAAUAACUCAUUUACUUGCCAAAACAAUGCUUUAUAAUUGGUAUCAAUGGUCCCAUUCUCAUUUUACAGAUGAGAAACAAAUACAAGUUUAGUAAUUUAUGUAAUGACCACAUUCCAGCAAUCAAGUGUGGUGCUUUUAACUCAGGCAACCAGGCACUGGGACAUGUAGUCAGUUAACCUGUAGAGCAGGCUGGUUACCAGAAAGAACACUGGACUUGGUUGAAAGCCCUGGUUCAAGGUCAGCCCUGCUACUUUGUGUGUAACUUUGGGAAAUUAAGCUUUAAUUGCCUUAGUAAAAAAUGAGAUAAUGCAAGUCACCAGCCUGUCAUAGCCCCUGUUACGGUGACCUAGAGGUAGCAUAGUGAGGUAAACUUGGACUCUGGACCCUGAGUCCCUGUGUGCAAAUCUGGGAACUGCAACCUACAAGUUAUGUGAGCUUGCGGGAGAUUUUUAAUCUCUCUGUACCUCAGUUUCCUUAACUGUAAAAUGAAUAAUAGUCACACCUACCUUAUUAGGGUUGUUAGGCAGAUCAAAUGUGUUGAUAUAAAUAAAGUACUUAGCUUGGUGCCUAGCACUUAGCAAGCAUUUACAGAGUACUACUCAGAAUGACUUUAAAGAAGCAUUUAUAGCCUAUACAAAUAUGAAGGAAUGAAGGAUAAAAGGAUAAGUGGAAAAUGUAUAGAACUAUGAAUUUGGAGCCCUGGAAAGAACUUUAGGCCAAUCACGGAGAACUGAAAUGACUAAUUAAUAAGGCAGGUGUCCUGGGACCAAACUCAAAGUUUUUCCCCUCUUUCACACCCAGACUCCAGAGCAGGGGAACUACCAUUGCAAGCCUGAAUGCAUUCAUCCAACAGAUACUGAAUGAUGAUCUGCACAUCAGAAAAGGCCACACAGUGAGGGGCAUUUAUAAAAAGGAUCCACUUCCUGGCUACAAAUCAUAACUGCUCUUAGCUGUGACCCCAAGACUGCACACAGUGAUGCCCUCAGUUCCAGAGUCACGCUCGAGGAAUUCUAGCAUUCCUGAAGAAAUCCAGCCACACCCCUGACUGGUAGACAACCUCGCACCAGCCCACGACAUGUGCCCCAUUCUCCAGCUUCACAGGGCUACGUGCUACUGCCACAGGUGCUUCCCAAAGCCAGGAAAAAUGUUCAGAGAUAUAUUUUUUUUUCCCCACAGUAACAAGGCAGUCUCAACUUAAGUCCUACAAAGAAUCCUUCAGAAGCCCCAAAUCCCUUUGGAUAGGACUUCAUUAAUCCUCAAGUGGCCUUCUGGUUUUUGGACUCAGUCACUCACCCAGGGAGGGGUCCUCUCUGCCCCUGGCCUACACUGCUUUGGGCACCAGCUUGCUUCAUAAAAGUUCUAGGCUGCCCCUGAGCCUCCACAAGUGCUCCUGAGCACGCCCUGGGCACACCGGCAAGUUCUCAGCCGCCAGAACCAAGAAGCUGGUAACCUUAUUGUGGGACAACACACUGAAGGCUCAUACUAUAAUACCAGUAUUUGUGACCUGGAUUUUCUGGGAUCCCCAGUGAAGGUGUGAUACAAUAAAUGACGGACAAGUCAUCUAUAAUGAAGGAUGGCCAGGUGACCACAAUAAACUCUGAUGCUGUGGUCUUCAAGGGCACACUAUUUCGUUUUGGAUACCCUGUACUUAAAAAAAAAAACUUUUUUUUUUAAUGUUUAUUUUUGAAGGAGAGAGAGACAGCGCGCGAGCAGGGGAGGGGCAGAGAGAGAGAGAGAGACACACAAAAUCCGAAGCAGGCUCCAGGCUCUCAGCCGUCAGCACAGAGCCCGAUGCGGGGCUCGAACCCACAAACCGUGAGAUCAUGACCUGGGCCAAAGUCAGACGCCUAACUGACUGAGCCACCCAGGCACCCCAUGGAUACCUUGUACUUAAAGGGUUACCGUGUACUCAGGAAUCAGGAGAUUCUAUUAAGUCCUGGUCUUCUAUUUAUCGGUAUCCUUUGGCAAAUUACCCGACCUCCCUUAACAGACUUUCCCAAUCUGUAAAAUGGGCUAACUUCACCUACUUCACACGCUUAGGAAGAUUAAGACAAAAACAUAUAUGUGAAAAUGCUUUGUGCAAAUGCUAGACAGAGCAGCAAUACUGACUGAACGAACCUGAACUUCAGACUAAAAGCCAGACUGGAAAGCUGUAUGCAAGUUCCCAGGAAAACCUGGAAACCAAAUGUGGUCAUUCUGCUCAAAUUUCUAGUCUAUAGCUAUCAGAUUGCCAGUAGGGAACUUUGGAAGUAGUGACAGCUUCUGUUUGGCAAAUAAGUAACCCUGGGGCAAGUGGUCCCAAAUACUAUCAAGUAGCCUAUAGGCAGUGGGUUCAUUGGCAUCCAUAAUAGUUCAUUUGAGAGAGAGAGAGAGAGAGAGAGAGAGAGAGAGACAGAGAGACAGAGAGAGCGAGAGCGAGCAAGCAGGGGAGAGGGCAAAGGGAGAGAAUCCCAAGGAGGCUCCAUGCUCAGCAGAGCCUGAUGUAGGGCUCAAUCCCACACCCUUGGGAUCAUGACCUUAGCCAAAAUCAAGAGCUGGACACUCAACUGACUGAGCCACCCAGGAGUCCCCAUAAUAUUCUUAAUAAACCACCUUUGGAAGAAGCCAAGUGCCAUCUCCAGACAAAACCACUCUGGAAGCACUGUGAAAGAAAGUUUUAAGCCACAUAAUCCCACCGUGCACACAUACAGAAGAAUGACCCAGGAUGCCUGUAGAUUAUUUCCCUAGAACUGACAAGAUCAAAUAUUCCUUGUUCAAGUUCAGUAUUUCAAACAUACCAUCUUUCACUCUGCUUCUGCCUGUCUGCUCUCCAGACAGCAAAAACACCAAAGAUGUGACAGUCUAGUUUCAAAUGACAAAGACAAGAGCUCUAGUGUCUUUGACUCCAGGUUAAAGAGGGUGCUUUAAUUCUUCCCCACCAGGAACUCCCCUGUGAAAGCCAAAGCACAUACCAUCCGAGCUGGGGCAGAGUUCUGCCUCUGUGUGAAGAUAUCUUUACCCUCCUCAAGUCCAUGAGAGUGCAGGCAGCCACGAGAUGCCGGUCUUAUUGGCUUCUUAAACUCAAAGGCUUCCUGCAAGACAGCAGAGUCGAUAUAUCUUCCCCUGUCCAUGAAAACCAGGGUCUUAGCUGUAGCUUGGGUGAGACAGUCAAGGGAGUAGGCACUGCUCACCUUUGCAACUGCCUCCAAACUAAGGGUUUACCCAUUUCUGAGCUAACUCCAACGCUAGAUCUGUGUCACUAAGAAUUUCACAGACUGUCAACAGCUAACUUCUAAAGCAGCAUUUUUUUCUCUCACCACAAAGACAUAAAUAUCUGCCAAGUAUACAAAACACUGAGUUAAUAAGCCAAAUCGAAUCAACAACUUCCUAAAAUCUAAAACGAAGUGUUUCAAUAUAAUUGCCUGUGAGUGGGAGUCAAAACCUUUUACUCUUGGGGCACCUGGGUGGCUCAGUUGGUUAAGUGUCCGACUUCAGCUUAGGUCAUGAUCUCGCAGUUAAUGAGUUUGAGCCCCACGUUGGGCUCUGUGCUGCCAGCACAGAGCCUGCUUCGGUCCUCUGUCCCCACCUCUCUCUGCACCUCCCCAGCUCGUGUGCAAGUGCACUCUCUCAAAAAUAAACAUUAAAAAAUAAAUUAAAAAAUAAAUAAAAAUGCUUAAAAAAAAA